CAAGUGACUUUGAACAGCUUGGGUGGCAGCGCUGACAAACUUGAAGUAAGCAUGCAUCUUGCAAGAGAGGAAAAAAAUGCAUGGGAGUGAACAUCUUAAAGUUAACUGAAACAUUUAAUAAAGAUGACAUUUCAAAAUUGUAGUAAGACGCAACAGCAACAUCUACCAACAGCUACCUCUUAGGAUCUUACCAAAUCUCGCUCUUGCCAGAAGAUUCUCUGGGAUAGAAGUUUACAUUUAUCAAAAUACUACUCAUUUCAUGAGAAAGCUGGAAGUAUGCUAGCAUCACUGGAUGGUCUAGAGGUACAUUAUCAUUUACAAGAAUUGAUACAGACGUACCACACCACUUUAACUAUUGCCUCACAGCCUGUAUAAGCAAAUACAGCUCAGAAAGACAUGGACAAAGUGGAUGAAAAGCGUGUGUACAUAAUCAUGCCUAUCAAAACAUCACAAAGAUCAAGAUUAAUGACAUCAUUGUUGUUUAAAAUCAUUCAUCUGUGGCACAAUAACUAUAGAAAGAUUUAUUGUCAAGUAAAUUGCAUUAUAGUCCUAAUACACAACAGCCUAUAAAACAGAUCUCAACCUUCUGUUUUGGAAACACUGCUUAGAUUACUUACUUAAAUAUGUAAAGUGAAUGUCCCAAGUAGUUAAAACAUUCUUUAUCUCUGGUCACCUAGAUGGAAAUAGUUUUUUUUUCUAUCUAAACACAAGCAACUGCAUUUCUCAACUAGAAGCACACUAGUUUCAAGUCAUUAAAAUUUAUGACAAAGUUAUCCUCUAAGCUCAAUUAACCUACUUCAUACCAGUGAAACUUCACCAGCUUAGUAGAGUUGCUUCCAAUGUCUAGUCUCUGAACUCACAGGUAGGCUCUCAUUGUGAAGGGUGACAUUUUUGUGAUCAAUAACUUCAAUGUAUUUUCAGAAGAAAUGUGACUGGAAGAAAAUUUUAUUGCAAAUAUCUUAACUUUUUUCUAUUUUUGCUUAAGCUAAGCACAUAAGAAUGUCUUAAAAGUUCACAGAACCUUGUGUUCCUCUCUUGGUAAUGUUUCUUCUAAAGUGCAUUUUUAUAUUCCUUUUUCUAGGCUACCUUUAUUGGUGUUGAGCUAAAGGUUUUCUUUGUAUAAAGGUUUUCCUUUGCUGGCCCUUGCAAAAUUCCUAUUAAAAAUAGGGAAUGUGAGAAAAUUAAAAGAAAAAUUGAGCCCUAUUAACAACAUGAUAAAUAUGAGGAAGGCAAACUAAAACCAUACAUGUAGGUAAGGAAGAGAUCACAUUAUGCUUACAUAUCUUCAUUAGAAAAGGGACACUCACCUUAUCUGUCUUGCAAUACAAAUAUUAUCCUUGAAAGAGUAAUCCAAAGACAAAAUUACAAGUUUUCCUAAGACAGAGAACUCCAUGGCACUUCAGGAAAUUACAGUGCUGUGUGAAACAGAGGAUCUGUAGGAAUGUUUCUGUCCCACAGUCUUCAGGUCAUUGUGAGUUUUUUUUAUUGAGUAUUUGGCUUUAGAAAUAAGUAAAACUGUUAGCUUUGACAUUUAGAAUCUGUAGUAAAUAGAGAAAACAUGGAUAUUGCAAGCCUCCCUAAAUAGAUUUUGUAAUGCUUGCCAGAAAUAAAAAAAUUAGUUGUAUCAAAUAGCUAAAAGAGAAAUAAAUAGAAUAAAUAAUUUUUCUUUUAUUGUUCUCCUGCAGUUGAAAUUCCACACAUUAAAAAGUUAAAAACCAGCAACUUUUUAUGCUUUACAGUGCAAUGAAGAUGUAAUUUGCACUUUCUGUAUCUCACAUGGAAUUUUCAUAUUGCCUUGGAUGCACUUUCAUAAACAUUAAAAAAGAAAUAAAGUAGCCCAAAUAAAACACAGCCAUUGUUACUUCCUGAACACUGAGCUACAGAUAGU